UACGUAGGGUGCGAGCGUUGUCCGGAAUUAUUGGGCGUAAAGAGCUCGUAGGCGGUUUGUCGCGUCGGCCGUGAAAACUCGAGGCUCAACCUCGAGACGUCGGUGGAAACCGUAUGGCUAGAGUCCGGAAGAGGAGAGUGGAAUUCCUGGUGUAGCGGUGAAAUGCGCAGAUAUCAGGAAGAACACCCGUGGCGAAGGCGGCUCUCUGGGACGGUACUGACGCUGAGACGCGAAAGCGUGGGGAGCGAACAGG
rnacentral:rRNA from 1 species